rnacentral:lncRNA from 1 species
GAACGAACGUAAUAACAGGCUUUUCAAUAAUGUUGUAACUUCUAUUCCCAGGUUGUUAGAUAAAGUUAAAUAUAUGUCUUUAGCCUGGUUGAAAGCCAAAAAAGUUGUUUUUAGGUUUGGUUCAGAUAGGUGGUGCUCAAGUCCCUUCCAAUGCUUGGGCAUCGCGUAAUGGUUUUUUAUGUUUGUUUGUAUGACUCUGUGUUUGUAGAGUAGCUCUUUUGGUACAC